rnacentral:tRNA from 1 species
GGCGAAGUGCCAGAGUGGUUAAUGGGUGUGACUCGAAAUCACAUGGCUUCGGUCGCGCAGGUUCGAAUCCUGUCUUCGUCG